rnacentral:tRNA from 1 species
GUGCUUGUAGCUCAGUUGGUUAGAGCGCCUGGUUGUGGCCCAGGAGGUCGCCGGUUCGAGCCCGGUCAUGCACCCCA